UUUUUAUUCCAGUGAUAAUUACAUCAAUAAACCUGAUUCAGCAAUUCUGUUGCUCUCUAAUUCAUUAAUUAAAACAAUUUACUGCUACCACUGUGAUUUUUUCAAGGACAUCAAAACAACAUUCCAAAUCAAAACAGCAGAGAUCAUCAGUUUAUAGAUGUGCAAAGCAUGCUUUGCUUUGCUUUCAUGGCUACCUCACAAUUAAAAUACUUACAACUCAAAUGAAAAAGAACUGUUUUCUCUUUCAGAUUUCCUUCUGUAAGCACAUCCAGAACACAUUUUGUUUAGGGGUUCUAACACCAAUACUUGUAAAGCAAGCUUAACAUGAAUCUAUCAAAAGUUAACUAUUUACAAUUGGAAGAACAAUUAAGAUAUUCAUAUUAUAACGAACUGCAGAGCUACAUUCUUAUAGUCUUUGUUUUCUAAACCCAUUUCCUGUUGAUUAAUUUUUGGGUCAAAUGAUAACAUGCUUGACUUACAGAAAACAAAACCUGAGGGGAGCUGAACAAGUUCUUCUGUUUAUCCUCUCCCACAAAACAGGACUGACAGGAACUACACUGACAAGCUGACCAAAACCAAUUCGAAAACAUUCUGGAUUUUACCUUUAACAUUUUAGAUGAUGAAAUAUUUGCAUGGUCCUCAGCAAUCUCUUUCACUGAAUUCUCCUUGGAGCUACGUUGUCUGAGCUAACUUCUUUCCACUACUUGUGUCAUAUGCAUCUGGGCCUAUUUGCCAUAUGCCCUUAUAAUGGCAGAAAUAUCCAAUCAGAACAGGCUAGGCCAAAUGUUCUGAACUCUCCCAACCGUUAGUGUCUUAUAUAUAAACUUAUGACUGUUCUUGUUAACCUUUCUCUAGACCUCUUGUUGGCUGGCACUUCCCUCAAAACGCAGUGCCAAUGCCAGUCACAGAGACACAGUGUUUCAGUAUCGGCACUGCUGUGUGCAGUAGUACGGCAUAUAAAUGACAUGCUACAAGGUUGUGGAAGAAACCCUCACAUGUUGCAGAAAACAUUGAUGACAAAUGUUUACACUUCACUCUAACAUGGCUACAUGGGAGAAAUGCAGAAAGAUUUUCUGGCCAUGCAGGUCUGGGGACAGGAAAGCCAAUGGCUCAACCCCAGCUGAAAAGCACUGGGGCAGAGGAAGAGCUGUUAGUACCAGUUACCCCAGCUGGGCAUCCACAAGGCCAAGGGACUGGAAGAGAGUUGUGUGUGGGUGCUGACAGAGCUGAUCAAUGUCACUGAGAGUCCUUGGAGUGUCAUGGCAACAGGAGGAGGUUCCUGAUGACCUUUUAGAAGGCAGAAGUCAUUUCAUCUUUAAGAAGUGCAAGGAGUAUAUGAGGAGGUAGAGGCAGUCAGCCUCACCCCAGCUCCCCAAGGACAAUUACUGAACAAAUACUGCUGAAAUUACCCUUCCAGGGAUCCAGGAAAAGAAAAUGCUUGGGAACAGUCAGCAUGGAUUUACCAAAAGCAAAUAAUUCCCAAACAACUCAAAUGCAGCCUAUGAUCUGUCUCAGCAAAGGUAGAGAAGUAGAUGAUUUUUUCUCUUGACUUUAGUAAGGUUUUCAGCAUUGUCUAUCAUAGCAUCCUGAUAGCCAAGCUGGAAAGAGAUUAUUUGGACAGGUGGGUUACAAGUGCAGUGUAUGGAAAACUGUUUUGGAUCACCAGGCAGAAAGAAUAGCACUCAGUAGCUCAAAGACAAACUGUUGGCAUUAGAUAACUGACUUCUUCAGGGGCUAAUACUGGGGCUGCUGCUGCUUUAUGUUUGUAUUACAUUCAACAUCCUGAGAAUGAAUAGGAUGAAAUGUGCCCUCAGCAAGUUUGUGGAUAGUGCCAAGUUGGAGAGAGUGAUCAACACACUGCAGGGCAAGACUGCCUUUCAGAGGGAUCUCAACAGGCUGUGAGAACAGGCAGAAAAAAGCUCAUGCAUUCCAAAGGCAGAAUAACCACAUCUCACAGUUCUAGCUGUGAAUCUGCUGGAAAACAGCUUUGUAGUAAAGGACCUGGGGAGUCAACCUGAACAGGAAGCUGAGCAGGAGUCAGACUGUGCCCUUGCAACAAUAACAACCAACUCCAUGGCAGGCUGCCUUUAGAAUACCAGCCAGCAUACUCUUGGAAGUGAGUAGUUCCCAUUUAUUCAAAACUUGAAGACUACAUCUGGAAUGCAAUAUCCAGUUUGGGGCUUCUCAGUAUUCAUAUGACAAUGACAAACUGGCAUGACUUCAGCAGAGGCUGAGCAAAAUGACCAGAGUGAUGAACCCUACAACCAAAGGAGAAGCUGAGAGCACUGCAUUUGUUCAGCCUGGAAAAGGAGUAUGUCUGGACUGAGAUGAGGUCAAAAGCCUUCCUAAUGUCAAAAGCCCUAUUAUGCGAGAAUCUGCUCCUUUUUCCUUACCAAAGAGGGGCUUACGCUAUCACAGAAGGGAAUCAGUAUCAAGUGUUCAGAGAUCUGAAUGCCAGUAAAUUCACCAUUCUGGAAGGACAAGAAAGUAUUAGAUUCACACGAGUGCUGUCUUCUGAAACUGGCUGAAGUUGGAGAAAGGAAGCAGGCAGGUGCCCAAGCUGCAGAUCAGAAGAUAAUUUUUCUUCACAGAAAUCCUCAGCAACGGACAUUUUGCUAGCAAUAUCUGCUUUUCCAUAGCUGUGAAAAAUGGGUCCAAGUUUCAAAUCAUUUAUCUAACCAAUUCAGAACGACUGCCUGAGGCCAUGAUCUCAUACUCCUUUCUCUAUUUCUUUUUUUUCCCAUUUUAUCACUUCCUAAUAUCCUCCAAUAUUUUUUCUUUUUAAACUAAUCUCAAACGGUGCAAAACUUUCACUAAACAAAAAAAUAAACCUCCACAUUCUAGUGCCAGUGCAAGUGUACACCUAGUUACUCUCUGUGGAUGUGGGCAUGGUCAACUGCGUGGCACACAUUGAUCUGCAAUCUAAUUCUUAGAAACACUGUUAAUACUGCUUCCAAAGGGAUAGAAAGUGGUAAGGGCCUGCUUAAGACUGAAAUGACUAAACUCUUUUCAGUCACAAUUAUUGCCAUAGCCUGAGCUAUGUAACUUUAAAAAAAUAAAUAACUAAAUAAAAGCACAAUCCUGUAAGGAGCUGCACUUUAGGAAUAACUAGCUCAAUUAGCCAUUGUGUUUUGACUAACAUCUUUCUGAUGUCACAUAAAGUCAGAGAGAGCAGUUUAAUGGAUUUAAAAAUAAUUCAAAUAACUAUGCAAAUUCUAAGAUACCUUAAAAAUAUAAUGACCUUUUAAACAAAAUGGUUAUCUGAAACUUAACUGUAACUUCUUGCUCAUAGUCUGCUGGAAUACUAAUCAAUUUUAAAAUACAAGCUUUAGUAAUCUUAGAGCAUACUAAAAAAAAAAGUUACGGGCAUGCGUAUAAAAGACGGACUACUUGAAUUUCAACACCACAGCUCCUAGAACAAUUAAAUACCGCACAUUUCUUGAAGCAGCAUUUUGAAACAGAAAAGCAUGCAUAUCAUGCUGAUCCAUUUACUGAUCCAUUUUUAAGUAAUGCGUUAUUUUUUUGUUGUUUGUUUCCUUUUGUCUCCAAGAGAACUGCAAUGAGAAUGGAGAAGACUAAAAAGCACAUGAGUGCUUGGUGUGCUCCAGUUGAUAUAUCAUGCUGUACAUGACACUGGUAGGCUGCCCAGACUAACAGAUGCAGGACCUCCUUCAGAGAGGCUGACAUGACAAAUCUCCAUGAAUGUGAUGCCAAGAGUCAUAUACGGAACUUGAACAAGCUCAAAGUAAAGUAUUUCCUUUUUAGAAUGAUUUACACUAAGCAAUAAUCCAAACCUCUGAGGUGAAAAUCUAUAUACCUUAAGUUUGGAAAACAGUUCCGAUGUUUUCUAUACAAAAUCUGCUGGCAUUCACUAGAUUAUUAAUGUAUUUAAAACUAUGCAAUGAUCAUUUAAAUCUGUGGUUUUUGUUUAUUUUAUUUAUUUAUUUAUUUUAAAGAAACUUUUAAUCCUGCCAAUAUGAUGGAAAAGCUUAGAUGGCUUCUGUAAGAUCUUAGAAACAAACCUGAGACCUCCAGGAAUUGAAGUUAUUAUCCUCAACAGAUUGUUUCCUCUCAUUCAUUGUAAUUAUGCAGCAGAACCUAGAGUUUUGCCUUUCUGAGGGAGAUGCAGUCUACAACUAUUUCAGAAAAACAAAUAUACCCAACAAUUAAAAGGAAGGAAAGGAAAUUCCAUUUUGAUGCCAAGCUUCUGUUCUUACCUAACUGACGAGAGAGAAAACCUUAAUUUCAUUCAGCAAAUAGUUAAUCCUAAUUCAUAAACCUGUAGGACAAGUGACAAUUCUCAUCAUCAUGAAUGGUAAGGACUAUUUAAAGCCGCAAGGAGUUUUCCUGGGUGAAGAGCAGCAUCACUCAAGAACGAAGGCCUUUCAGGCGAGGAAAGUGAGAUCUGGUGUUGUGCUUUGCUUAUUAUAGCCUGUUGCUCCUUACCUGCUUUAGAGGUAAAUAUAUAACACAGAAAUGUGUAUAUCUGUAAAACAAUUCCAUUGAAAUUCAAUCAGGAAACUUUCAAACACAGCAGAGAAGAGUGGCUGAAAAGCUAGUUUUGGAUUCAAAGCUUUAUUGUAUCUGUCAGAUUUUAACCACAUGCUAGCACAGCUAUUAACCCCAGGCCAUAAAUUAAGAAAACUCGCACCUGCAGUUUGGUCCUUAUAUUAGAGCACCUGUGCCUGCCAGGACAGUAUUGCUUCCCUGCCUUUAAAUUAUAUUUUUGAUUCUACUGUGAGCAUUUAACAUACUGAUUCCAACUACAUUUAUAAAAUCGCUUCUGAGCCAAAACUUCCAGGUUCAGUGGAAACAAAAAUCCUGAGAAAAAUACCAGAGAAGAUUAAGCUUUUCACCACUUCCAUAACAUCUGCAGCGAAACGGGGACCCGUGACACGGUCUGAGUUAUACAUGUUUCAUAGCCCUAGGGGACUUUCAAGCCAUCAAAAUUUCAUUAGCCUCACAGCAGUUCUAGUACCUCCUUAAGCUGGACUGCUGGCCUUCCUAUCAAUAAAUAAAUCAACUGUAAUCCUUUUUAGUGACUAAACUCUUCUUUGAAGUUAUAUCAAACAUCAGACACUCUUUGCAUGAUUUUAACCACUGCAGAGUAGUGCUUUUUCUAACAUAUUCAGCUUUCUCCCACACAAAAUAUAAAACAAAACUCCAGUUUUCCACUGACAGAGGGGAUUUGGUAACAAUAUAUUUUGCCUUUUUAAUUUUUUUAAAAGAAUUAUUAUUAAUUUGAAGUUUAUUAAUGAAGUAUAUCUUAGCUGAAGCGGUGACCUCUAGGAUAAAGUAUAGAUACAGCUCUCUUAAGGAUAUUGUAUGCGUGUGUAUAUACACAUGCAUAAAAAAUCAUUAAGCUAGGGUUUUACAAAAGACUCAAGGCAGUCAGUUUCAGCAUAGACCUUUCUUUUUUUCUAGAUUGCUUUGCAACCAAAGUAUGAAGAGUCAUUCAGCAGAAUCUCCACUGCCAAAAGGAGGUAAGCAUGUGCUCCUAUCUUCCUCCUUCAAAGCCUGCCUCUUCCCUAAAGUAAAUUUUCCAAGCAUGAGACAAAGCUGUUUUGAACAUGGACAGCUGCCUCCUCAGGUAGCAUGCAGCAUUAAUUCCAACACAAGAAGCAAAAUCCCCUUUGAGGUGGAUGUCAUGCACAGGUGUUUUCAGCUAGAACCAGCAACCAAGGCAGGAAAGGCAAUGACUACAACAGCUAUGGUUCUGCAGACUCAAAAUGAAGUUGAAACAAUAAAUAAGUAGGACAAAACAUUAUUGCUUGUAGUUUAAAAUGAAAGCGGUGUCCUUCUUUCUUUCUAAGUAUCACAAUAAAUACUCCCGCUGCCGUUUACCACAAUAUGUUAAAGCUGUUGCCAGAAGAUAGAAAUAAAAUUGCUCCAGCUUUGGUACAGCUGAGCAGUCACAUUUAAUAAAUUAAUAAAAUGAAGCUUAGACAUCUAGGCAAUAGCCUUUGCUCUAAUUUUCAUUUUUACUCAUUUUUCUUUAUUCAUCUUAGAAUCUGUCACAUAGGAAGUCAUGAAGUUAAUAGAACAAGCGUAUUCUACUGAAGCUGAAAAUCUUCUGCAAACAAAAAGAAGUUAAAGAUAAAAUGUUUUCUAACAUUUGUGCACUUAGCAUUUAACAUCACAUCAGGUUCUGUUCAUAACCUCGAGUUGAAGCAAAAGAUUUUGCAGAGCUUUAAAAGUGAAUCAAGUCAAUUGCAUUAACCUCUUUUCAUUUAAAAAGCUAAGCCUUAAUAUACAGUGGUCAUACCCCACAUCCUACAAAGCUGCUGUUUAGAUUUAUUUGCAGAUUUUAAUUGCACAGUAAUCCAGUCCCCUAGGCACAUCAAAGGCCACACGUCCCUCUUCACCACAAUUCCAAUUGCUCUCAUCAGCUAGUAAGUUUAAAGCACGAUCAAAUUUGUUUUCCAAUCACAUGAGUCCUGUUAAUAAGCUAUUCUUUGUGUUCAUUCAUCCGUUCUAAGAUUCUGCAACUUCUCUGAGAUGUCUUAAAAGAGGAGUUUACAAUGAAACCUUUGAUUGCAAGCUGGCCUCGGGGAUCAACUUUAUCACCACUUACUUUGCUGCUUCCCAAAGGGUAACAGGUGAAAUGGCCCAAGAUAAAACAGAGCUAAUCUUUUUUUGUGAUGAAACUCUUCCAAAAUUACAGCCAAAACAUCAAGCCCAAAGCUUUUAUUAGUUAGGACUGAUAGUGAAUAUUGACUUUUCUGGGAAGGGGAGGAAAAAAAAUAAGUAGAUAAAUAAUUCAAGGCCAUUCCUUGAACUUUUAAUGACUUGAAAUGAUUGACUGUUAACCAAAACAGCAAAUAAAACAUUGAUUUAUAUACGUGCAUA